UACGUAGGGUGCAAGCGUUGUCCGGAAUUAUUGGGCGUAAAGAGCUCGUAGGCGGUUUGUCGCGUCUGCUGUGAAAACUCAGGGCUUAACCCUGAGCUGCAGCAGGGUACGGCAGGGAUCAUGAGAGUUCGGUAGGGAGUCUGGAAUUCCUGGUGUAGCGGUGAAAUGCGCAGAUAUCAGGAGGAACACGGUGGCGAAGGCGGGUCUCCUGGGCCGUAAGCUGACGCUGAGGAGCGAAAGCGUGGGGAUCAAACAGG
rnacentral:rRNA from 1 species